ensembl:lncRNA
AUCUCUCUUUUUUUGCACAAAAAUAAGAACUAUAAAACAAAAAGAUAACAACUAGUCAGUCAAACACAGUCUAGUAGACUCUGCAGCCUACACAGUCAUGUCAAUAACUCUGCAAAGUUUGUAACAUGCAAGGCUGGGUAGGGGUUGAUGUACAGGAAGUCACAGAAGGGAGACCACAACCCAGACCAUAGUUUUUUUUUUCUUUUUUUGUCAGCGGACAAAGGCUGUUAGCAACAAGCGGACGCAUCUGAAGUCAUUUCCUGAUAUAUUUUAUAGGACACAGAUCUAAGUAACAGAUAUAAAUAGCACAUUCUGUGAAGGUGGACAUUGUCACUCUCAAAGUCUUCAUUUCGCCUGUCCACUCCGAGACUCAGCCAUGAAGAACUACAAGCUUACCGUCACCUGCAUCCUUCUCUUCACACUUUGCACCGCGGUGAUGAGUCAAUAUGGUUACUUUCCCAAAAAAUGUUGUUUCCGUUACUACAACAAACCUAUACCUGUGGGCCGUGUUAGAAAAAUUGUGCGGACUUCCCCAGAAUGCAUCAACCCAGGUUAUCUGGUCAUAACAAAGAAACGAGGAGCAUCCCUGUGUGUCCAACCAGGCAGGCCGGAGGUCGUCAAACUGAUUAGCAAAUUCUACCUCGUCUAAGCUUUCAGCUCUUGAAAUAAAAUCAGCUCAAUCCAUCCGCCUAACAAAUAGUGUUACUAAGCUUCUUCUGGGGAUAUACUCAGGAAAUGUACGUUAUGGUUUUUGACCAGUCAUAAGUGGAAUUAUUUUUUGCCUUUUGUUCAUUAUUCUUUCUUUCUUUCUUUCUUUCUUUCUUUAUGUUAUUGUAACAUUUGUAACCACAAUUUCUUUCAAUAAAUACAAGAUGACCAACACUGUGUUUCCUCACAACCUUUAUUAACACACAAACGUGUUAGACAAGAGCAGCAUUUUGUAAGGAUUCCUCCAACUGUAUUGUUUGCCUAACUUAAUUUAGUUUGGUUCGUUCAGAGCAGUUAUUUCAGCUUGUUUUUCCCAUUUUCGGGAAGCUUCUCCCAUUUUCCGCCAUUUAGCAUGGGUAUUUAACCCAUUGUCCUUGGUGAGCACCGCUCUGUUUCAACUUAGUAAUAGUUAACUGAUAACUUAAAUCAAUUUAGUUAUUGUUUGUCUUCUUGCUGUAAGCUAUUUCACAGUUGGCGUAAGUUUUAAUAUUGUGAUAUGAAUAUAAUGUGUGGUUCAGGUGUAGAAGGUUUUUGCAUUGAUCUCUUAUAUAUUUGUGGUGCAAUUUAUUUCCAAUGAGAAGCUAAAUAGUUUGAACUUAAUGCAAUGCAUCCUCAGAAACAGACUGAAAUAUUAUGUCCUUAAUGUAACUCAUGACAUACAAGUCUCACAUUCUUCUGGACUACAAAAGCAUAUUAAGUAAAGACUUUUGCAGACAAAAGUCACUCAACGCUCAAAACUCAUACUAUUACCUGGUAGUAUGUACUAAUACAAACUAUCAAGUUCGUCAUACCACACUCAAAAUCAUCUGUGAGUGUUAGCAGAAAAAUAACCCUGAAAGGACGUUUUUAUGAAAGACAUAUGUAGGUCACCAAACCACUUCCUGUUGCGCUUUAAAGAUGAGUUUACACUUACAUAAAACCCAUAAAUGGUAUGUAUGAUGUAUACUGUACAACAUAUAUAUAUAAUAUAACAUUUUGUAGCACUAUUUGAUAAUAACCAAAGAGUUAAAUUCAUAUCCCAAUGCAGUCUUCAUUUGGUACUUAAAUCUGAUAGCAGCC